rnacentral:rRNA from 1 species
UACGUAGGGACCGAGCGUUGUCCGGAUUCAUUGGGCGUAAAGGGUGCGUAGGCGGCGCGGUAAGUCGGGUGUGAAAUCUCGGAGCUUAACUCCGAAACUGCAUUCGAUACUGCCGUGCUUGAGGACUGGAGAGGAGACUGGAAUUUACGGUGUAGCGGUGAAAUGCGUAGAUAUCGUAAGGAAGACCAGUGGCGAAGGCGGGUCUCUGGACAGUUCCUGACGCUGAGGCACGAAGGCCAGGGGAGCAAACGGG